rnacentral:lncRNA from 1 species
UUGGAAUUCCUAGAAAGCAAUAUUGGGAUAAAAUAGUAGAAAUUAGUAGGAAGAUAAUGGCCGAGACAAUUUGUUGUAAUUCCUUUUCAUGUAUUUAUUUUAGGGGGGUGUCAUAUGAGACAUGUUGAUGUCUCCUCCUGCCACAAGCCAAGUUGUUCCUAAGGCUCUUUAGGGGGAGUGACUAGUUGGCCACCAGCUGGGGCUGGGCCCAGUUGGCUACCGUAGGCCUACGGA